CUAAUGGAGGACUAGUGGUUAGGCCUCGGUGCUCUCAUCACCGUGGCCUGGGUUCGAUUCCCGGCCAGGAAA